rnacentral:lncRNA from 1 species
AAUUCUCGAAAUACGAGAGUUAGACUUCAUAUAAAACCGACCAAGGGUGCAUUGGAAUAAAUACACGAGAGCAAAUAGUGCAAAACUUGCACUGGAGCAAAUUACUCUCGGGGACUGGUCCCUGGCAGGGAGGGACCGGUCUCAUCAGCUGAUGACGCGGGGUUGCUUGAGGCAACCGGUCCCUGGCAGGGAGGGACCGGUUCCCAAACGCGAUCCCAGCAAGGAAAGCCAAAAAUUGGCUAAGUCCUGAGAUUCCAGUUCUCGGGAACCGGUCUCUCGGGGAGGAACCGGUCUCCCGAGGACCGAUCUUUCUGGGAGAGACCGGUACCCGAACGUGUGACCCGAGCUGAAGCUCUCGGGGACCGAUCCCAAGUCGGGGAGACCGGUCC